rnacentral:rRNA from 1 species
AAAAACAACACACCAAUAUAAAUAUCCCUAAAUGCACUAACACCCGCAUAAAACAAACCAUUUUUCCCCCUUAGUAUGGGCGACAGAAAAGGAACCGUGGCGCAAUAGAGAAAGUACCGCAAGGGAAG